rnacentral:rRNA from 1 species
GACGAACGCUGGCGGCGUGCCUAAUACAUGCAAGUCGAACGCUUUUUCUUUCACCGGAGCUUGCUCCACCGAAAGAAAAAGAGUGGCGAACGGGUGAGUAACACGUGGGUAACCUGCCCAUCAGAAGGGGAUAACACUUGGAAACAGGUGCUAAUACCGUAUAACGCUAUUUUCCGCAUGGAAGAAAGUUGAAAGGCGCUUUUGCGUCACUGAUGGAUGGACCCGCGGUGCAUUAGCUAGUUGGUGAGGUAACGGCUCACCAAGGCAACGAUGCAGAGCCGACCUGAGAGGGUGAGCGGCCACACUGGGACUGAGAAACGGCCCAGACUCCUACGGGAGGUAGCAGUAGGGAAUCUUCGGCAAUGGACGAAAGUCUGACCGAGCAACGCCGCGUGAGUGAAGAAGGUUUUCGGAUCGUAAAACUCUGUUGUUAGAGAAGAACAAGGAUGAGAGUAAAACGUUCAUCCCUUGACGGUAUCUAACCAGAAAGCCACGGCUAACUACGUGCCAGCCGCCGCGGUAA